rnacentral:rRNA from 1 species
AUACAUGCAAGUCGAACGCUUCUUUUUCCACCGGAGCUUGCUCCACCGGAAAAAGAGGAGUGGCGAACGGGUGAGUAACACGUGGGUAACCUGCCCAUCAGAAGGGGAUAACACUUGGAAACAGGUGCUAAUACCGUAUAACAAUCGAAAACCGCAUGGUUUUGAUUUGAAAGGCGCUUUCGGGUGUCGCUGAUGGAUGGACCCGCGGUGCAUUAGCUAGUUGGUGAGGUAACGGCUCACCAAGGCCACGAUGCAUAGCCGACCUGAGAGGGUGAUCGGCCACAUUGGGACUGAGACACGGCCCAAACUCCUACGGGAGGCAGCAGUAGGGAAUCUUCGGCAAUGGACGAAAGUCUGACCGAGCAACGCCGCGUGAGUGAAGAAGGUUUUCGGAUCGUAAAACUCUGUUGUUAGAGAAGAACAAGGAUGAGAGUAACUGUUCAUCCCUUGACGGUAUCUAACCAGAAAGCCACGGCUAACUACGUGCCAGCAGCCGCGGUAAUACGUAGGUGGCAAGCGUUGUCCGGAUUUAUUGGGCGUAAAGCGAGCGCAGGCGGUUUCUUAAGUCUGAUGUGAAAGCCCCCGGCUCAACCGGGGAGGGUCAUUGGAAACUGGGAGACUUGAGUGCAGAAGAGGAGAGUGGAAUUCCAUGUGUAGCGGUGAAAUGCGUAGAUAUAUGGAGGAACACCAGUGGCGAAGGCGGCUCUCUGGUCUGUAACUGACGCUGAGGCUCGAAAGCGUGGGGAGCAAACAGGAUUAGAUACCCUGGUAGUCCACGCCGUAAACGAUGAGUGCUAAGUGUUGGAGGGUUUCCGCCCUUCAGUGCUGCAGCUAACGCAUUAAGCACUCCGCCUGGGGAGUACGACCGCAAGGUUGAAACUCAAAGGAAUUGACGGGGGCCCGCACAAGCGGUGGAGCAUGUGGUUUAAUUCGAAGCAACGCGA